rnacentral:rRNA from 1 species
AUUGAACGCUAGCGGGAUGCUUUACACAUGCAAGUCGAACGGCAGCGCGGACUUCGGUCUGGCGGCGAGUGGCGAACGGGUGAGUAAUGUAUCGGAACGUGCCCAGUAGCGGGGGAUAACUACGCGAAAGCGUAGCUAAUACCGCAUACGCCCUACGGGGGAAAGCAGGGGAUCGUAAGACCUUGCACUAUUGGAGCGGCCGAUAUCGGAUUAGCUAGUUGGUGAGGUAACGGCUCACCAAGGCGACGAUCCGUAGCUGGUUUGAGAGGACGACCAGCCACACUGGGACUGAGACACGGCCCAGACUCCUACGGGAGGCAGCAGUGGGGAAUUUUGGACAAAGGGGGCAACCCUGAUCCAGCCAUCCCGCGUGUGCGAUGAAGGCCUUCGGGUUGUAAAGCACUUUUGGCAGGAAAGAAACGUAGCGGGCUAAUACCCCGUGGAACUGACGGUACCUGCAGAAUAAGCACCGGCUAACUACGUG